ACUUGAUCCAAAACGCAUGAUUCAAUGAACAUGAGAUUUUGUUGGUUCCCACCAAUGGCAUUUCAAAAACUAUUGUCGUGAGUAUUGACUUACCUGUGAACUGUGUUGACAUACAUUGAUGGUUCUCAAAGGGCCCAACUCACCGUGCACGUCCUUCCUGGAGUCCUUUCAAUUUUGGGGAGCGCUCUUUUGUAUUUCAUCAUAUGCAAACAUCAUGAAAAUCUGAUAAUAUGAUAUUUGUGUGUCUGGGGCCUGAGGGUGUGUGUGUCUGAAUUUCACUGAGCAAGAAAUGGAUUGAUUUCAAAUGUGCUAUUAUAUUCUACAAUUCGGAACACGGGAACAUUGUUAAUGUCUUACCCGACAACCUGCGGUUAUACUACUAGCACUUAUCGGAAAUUGAAAACACAGGUAGAGGACUUCUCUGCCAACAGACUUUGCUGAUAUUUCAACCAUGGUCGGGUACCAUCAGAGCCUCAAAUAUGAAUAAACGGAUUUUUAAAACAUUUCUUCUCUUCAUCUUACUGAAUGCGCUUCCCAAUGUAAUUAGCGGAGGUUGGUUCUGCAACAACCCCUCACCACCGGUUUGCGCCGAUGACUGCGAUGGGAAUGGAUACUAUAUCAGUCAAGAUGGAACUGCGUGCAUUCAAUGUCCACAAUGUUCGGCUGGACAGGAACUUAACAAGGAUUGUGGAAAUGGUUUGAACGGAGAUGCAGUAUGCAUACCUUGUCCAGAAGGAUUCUUUUCAUUAUCCACGUCACAGCGUUGCACUCAAUGCACCACAUGCACCAAUACCGUUGAGC